UUUCCGUAGGUGAACCUGCGGAAGGAUCAUUAUUGUAUAACCGAGACGCGAGGGCUGUCGCUGACCCGAAAGGUCGUGCACCCUCGUGUGUCCUCACACACAUCCAUCUCACCCCUAUGUGCACCACCGCGUGGGUCCCCCUUUGGCUUGUUCGGAGGGGGGCUUACGUUUUCACACAAACUUUGUAUGCAGUGUAGAAUGUAUUUUUUGUUUUUGCGAUCACGCAAUCAAUACAACUUUCAACAACGGAUCUCUUGGCUCUC
rnacentral:misc_RNA from 1 species